AUUCAACUGACGAGUUCAAAACGGGAUGAAACGUGUGUCCUAGAU
rnacentral:hammerhead_ribozyme from 1 species